UAUUGGUUGGCUGUCCUCCCCGGAAGUGGCGACAGGACAGGAAAUCCGGGUGUGCUGAUUGAGCACGCGCUGUGUCCCGCGGAGAGCGAUGCAGGAUGGGUGCGCGGUGGUUUCCGCCCUGGAGCGCGAGGAGGGUCCGUGGGGCUGGAUUCUCGCGAGUGGGCGGGGUCUGGGAGAGUCGGGGAGCUCGGCAGCCCGGUCGCCGUGGGGCGGCGCAGGCCUUGGCGUUCCAGGUCCCCAGACCUUGCCUAUCCUUGCCUCACUUCCUAAAGACCAAAGUGUAUGCUUAGGCCAUAGGAUGAAUGCAGUGCCUCUUUGCACACAGCAUGGCCUGUGCUCUGUGUGCUUCCAUACAAGUGAGUGAGUAGGAAUUCAUUCCCAACCACUGGCUGCCUGUUUCUCCAACUGAUAAGGGGAGCCUUGCUUAACUUGGAAGAGGGCCAGAGCGGACCUGUUGGCACCUCUCACUUCCCUUUUAACUUCCCCCUUUGGAUGAGCCUGCUGUUGGACUGUCCAUAUUCCUCUGAACCCUACUAGGUUUCCUCUCCUCUAAAUCGCCCCCAAGUUAUUAUGGUCCUCACUAUUCUCCACAGUCCAAUUUAAAU
rnacentral:lncRNA from 1 species